rnacentral:rRNA from 1 species
UACGUAGGGUCCGAGCGUUGUCCGGAAUUACUGGGCGUAAAGAGCUCGUAGGUGGUUUGUCGCGUUGUCCGUGAAAACUCACAGCUCAACUGUGGGCGUGCGGGCGAUACGGGCAGACUGGAGUACUGCAGGGGAGACUGGAAUUCCUGGUGUAGCGGUGGAAUGCGCAGAUAUCAGGAGGAACACCGGUGGCGAGGGCGGGUCUCUGGGCCGUAACUGACGCUGAGGAGCGAAAGCGUGGGGAGCGAACAGG